AUAGAUAUAAUACAAUGGGCAAAAAUCAUCUUUGUUUUUCCUUCUCUUCUCUUCAUCAUAUCUAGUAAAUCAAUUUUGUUUGUUUCCUUUCUUCUUUCUCUCCUCCUUUCUUUUCUCUAGGUUUAUCCCCCUUCUCCUCUUCGUCAAGUGAAAUCGAGAAACUCGAAAAAUCAAAUCGUUACAAAAAACUCAGAUGAUACUAAAGUCUUCAUGGGCAGAGCCAAACGCUGCCUCUAGCCGAUUACCAUAUAAAGUACGGCAACUGCGUCGGUGAAGAUGGUGAAAACAGAAACAAAUUUCAUCGGUAGAUCUGAAGAAUCAGUAUCAAGAACGACGACAUAGGUGAUACUGGAAAUGGAGGACAACCGUUACAUCUCAAAUUCUCCAGCGUCGCAUCACCGACACUCUAGUCGUCGUAUCUACGUCUCCGGCCACUACCAGCCACUACCACCGUUUUGUUCUCCAUCGCUCCGGUCGUUGAUGCUAAUAUAUAGAUAUAGUCAGAUAAAUAUAUGCAUUGUAUUUUCGGUUUGUAAUGAUAAUUACAAAUAAAAUUAUUUUUGAUU